GCAAAUCAGAAGAGUGUUGUUUCUUUUAAAAUUGGAACAAUACAGAAAAGAUUAACAUGGUGCCUGUGCAAGGAUGACAAAAAAUAAACAAAACAUUUCCCAAAGCCCC